rnacentral:rRNA from 1 species
UACGGAGGAUGCAAGCGUUAUCCGGAAUGAUUGGGCGUAAAGCGUCCGCAGGUGGCGAUGUAAGUCUGCUGUUAAAGAGUCUAGCUCAACUAGAUAAGAGCAGUGGAAACUACAUGGCUAGAGUACGUUCGGGGCAGAGGGAAUUCCUGGUGUAGCGGUGAAAUGCGUAGAGAUCAGGAAGAACACCGGUGGCGAAGGCGCUCUGCUAGGCCGUAACUGACACUGAGGGACGAAAGCUAGGGGAGCGGAAUG